ACAUUUAAUAUCCUGACACUAAUGAAUUUUUAUAAACAGAAUUCUGAAUUUUGACUAGAUAUUGUAUUUUGACAUUGUUGUAGGUAUAUU